rnacentral:lncRNA from 1 species
CAGCUGAGUUCCUAGACAUCAAGGAGCUAACCCUGCUGUGCCCUGAUUGAAUUUCUGACCAAACGAAUACAGGAGCCUACCUUAUGGGGAAGUCUUUCCUCCUGCUUUGGAGGGAAAGAAACGGAGGUCUCGCCAACACCGCUGAUUCGCCUGAAGUCACACAGCUUGUCUGAGGAGAAGCAGGGGUUUGCACUCAGGUGCCUUGAGCUUUUCCCUGUCCCCGUUUCUUCCCUGUUGGCUUUACCGGGAGAAUCACCCUCUGACAACGUUUCUGAGAGGGCGUUUGAAAUGGGCUCAGCGUCGCGUCUGACUGUGGCCUCUGCACCUUAAGAGGAACAAAGAGAAUUUCCAAAGUGGUCAAGUAAGUUACAAAGGAAACCUGGAGAAUAAAUGAUCUCUGAGGAAUGUUUAGAGGAACUAGGAUGAUUUCAUUUGGAGAAGGCUGAUUAUAUAAUGGGUCUUCAGGUUUAUGAAAGAUUGUUAGAGACGGUGGCCACCAGCUGUUCCUCAUCUCCACUCUGGACCGGAGAGGAGGAAAUUGGCUUAAGCCGCAGCCUGAGGGUGUCUAUAUGGAAGAAUUUCCUGACGCUGGAAUGGGCAGGAAAAAAAAAAAGCAGGCCCUUUUUCUGAGGACACCAAAUGGAGACCAGAGUCGUCUCGGUGUGUGUGGGCUUUUUAGCAGCCAAUUAAUCGGGCUCACUGGGCGUGUGCCUUGGGAUUUUGUCUCUAGAAGCUCUCCGGGUUGCAGGGGAACGUUGCAGGACCCUCUCUGACAAUAGCCCCAAUGGAGCUAUGCCCCCAUGAUAGCCCAGUACCCCUUCCUAAUGACAGACCGUGCCGAGCACCAGGGCAUGUGCGUACGUGCACGCCAGCGCUCUGCCCCUGGCCUUUGCUAGCCCCUAACCCUGGGGCUAAGGGUGUCUCCUGGGUUUCUGGGGAGGGAGCAAUGAAUCAUCUACGAGUAGGUCUAGCAGAGUGCCUGGCACGUAGUUGGCGCUCAGUGAAUCAUAGUCCUCUGCUCCCACCACCCAAAUCUCUAGAACUUAUGUGAAGUCUAAAUAAGCUCCGUUUUUUGACAGUAAAAUUAUUUGAUUUUGAGUUAAGUUCCACAAGGUUCAACAAGGUUAAGGUCUGCAAGGUUCAAGGGGUACAACUUAAAUCUGUGCUCUGGGGAUUUGCUGAGUGAGUUCAUCUCCAAACCCGCAUCUACUGCAGACCGUGGAUCUCCGCUCUCAGCCCAAAGUGUCUGGGUGCUGGCAGAGCUCCCUCGCCCGCCACUCCCGUCAGUCCAGCCAACCAGUC